GCAACAGCAAUUUUUGAAGUUGUGACAAUGCAACUAACAGGUUAACAAAGCUAAUGAAAAAAAAUAAAAAUAGAAAUUAAUAGCGCUACUACUUCUUU
rnacentral:rRNA from 17 species